rnacentral:tRNA from 1 species
ACUUAAAUAGCUUAUAAGUUAGAGUGUAACAUUGAAGAUGUUAAGGAAAUAUAAAUAUAUUUUUAGGUA